UCUGCCUCCCAAUGAGCCAGGACCCUCCAUAGGAGGGUUGAAUUCAUUUGGCUGACAAGAAAAACAACUUGCCGAUCGCCUGUCUGAUAACCCCCUCAGCACAGCUAAACGAAGUCUC
ensembl:misc_RNA